GCUUUAUAAAUAAUCUAGGUUUAGUUGAUUUAGAGUGUAGUAAAGACUAGAUUUAAUUAUUUUAUUUUAUUGGGGUGAUAUGAGUAUAAAUAUUAUUAACUGCUUAAAAGAAAUACAGGGAUAGAAGAAUUUGCUUAUAGUACAUGAUCCUUUUUAGAGAUUAAAAGACUAAGUU
rnacentral:rRNA from 1 species